AGUUAAUUAGCUUAUAUAAAGCAUAUAUUUUGAAAAUAUAAGAUCAUAGUUAAAUGAUUAGCUU
rnacentral:tRNA from 1 species